UUGAUUUGGCAGCAUGUAUACUAAAAUUAGAAUGAUACAGAGAAAUUUAGCAUGGCCCCUGUGCCAGAAUGAUAUGCAAAUUCGUGAAGUGUUCCAGAUUUUU
ensembl:snRNA U6 U6 spliceosomal RNA